CUGGCUCAGGAUGAACGCUAGCGACAGGCUAACACAUGCAAGUCGAGGGCAGCAUAAAAGUAGCAAUACGUUGGUGGCGACCGGCGCACGGGUGAGUAACGCGUAUGCAACCUACCUAUCAGGAGGGGAAUAACCCGGCGAAAGUCGGACUAAUACCGCAUAAAACAGGGGCACCGCAUGGUGAUAUUUGUAAAGAAAUUCGCUGAUAGAUGGGCAUGCGUUCCAUUAGGUAGUUGGUGAGGUAACGGCUCACCAAGCCGACGAUGGAUAGGGGAACUGAGAGGUUGGUCCCCCACACUGGUACUGAGACACGGACCAGACUCCUACGGGAGGCAGCAGUGAGGAAUAUUGGUCAAUGGGCGAGAGCCUGAACCAGCCAAGUCGCGUGAAGGAAGAAGGAUCUAUGGUUCGUAAACUUCUUUUGCAGGGGAAUAAAGUGCAGGACGUGUCCUGUUUUGUAUGUACCCUGAGAAUAAGGAUCGGCUAACUCCGUGCCAGCCGCGGC
rnacentral:rRNA from 1 species